CUGGAUAGUAACUCGGUUAAGGCCCACUAUAUGUUGGGGCGUGCAUUGCUCGAAAAAGAGGAAUACAACAAGGGGAUCAAAGAGUUGGAGAAGGCCUUGGAUCUUGGGAGGACUGCAAACCCUACGAGCUACCUGGUGGAGGAGACCUGGCAGAUUCUCGCUGAUGCCAAGUACAUGGAAUGGGAACGCUCAUCUUGCAACCGUGCAUGGAAGCUGCAAAAUUUGAAGGAAG
rnacentral:misc_RNA from 1 species